AGCAGCCGCCGCGGGAAUACGUAGGUGGCAAGCGUUGUCCGGAAUUAUUGGGCGUAAAGGGCUCGCAGGCGGUUUCUUAAGUCUGAUGUGAAAGCCCCCGGCUCAACCGGGGAGGGUCAUUGGAAACUGGGAAACUUGAGUGCAGAAGAGGAGAGUGGAAUUCCACGUGUAGCGGUAAAAUGCGUAGAGAUGUGGAGGAACACCAGUGGCGAAGGCGACUCUCUGGUCUGUAACUGACGCUGAGGAGCGAAAGCGUGGGGAGCGAACAGGAUUAGAUACCCCCGUAGUCCCUGUCUCUUAUAU
rnacentral:rRNA from 1 species